rnacentral:rRNA from 1 species
GACGAACGCUGGCGGCGUGCUUAACACAUGCAAGUCGAACGGUGAACGAGGGAGCUUGCUCCCUCCGGGUCAGCGGCGAACGGGUGAGUAACACGUGAGCAAUCUGCUCCGAACUCUGGGAUAAGCGCUGGAAACGACGUCUAAUACUGGAUCCGACGCGGUAGGGCAUCCUCCCCGCGUGGAACGAACUUCGGUUCGGGAUAGGCUCGCGGCCUAUCAGCUUGUUGGUGGGGUAUAGGCUCCCCAAGGCGCAGACUGGUAGCCGGCCUGAGAGGGGGACCAGCCACCAGAGGACUGAGGCACGGACCAGACGCGAACGGGAGGCAGCGGUGGGGAAUAUUGCACAGUGGGAGCAAGCGGGAUGCAGCAGCGCCGCGUGAGGGACGACGGCCUUCGGGGUGUAAACCGCUGUAAGCAAGGAAGAAGCGAAAGUGACGGUACCUGCAGAAAAAGCACCGGCUAACUACGUG